rnacentral:misc_RNA from 1 species
AACACUGUUAACCUGCGGUACCUGCGGAGGGAUCAUUACAAGUGACCCCGGUCUAACCACCGGGAUGUUCAUAACCCUUUGUUGUCCGACUCUGUUGCCUCCGGGGCGACCCUGCCUUCGGGCGGGGGCUCCGGGUGGACACUUCAAACUCUUGCGUAACUUUGCAGUCUGAGUAAACUUAAUUAAUAAAUUAAAACUUUUAGCAAUGGAUCU